rnacentral:lncRNA from 1 species
ACUACAAGUGUCGAGGGGCCUAGGGGAAGCCGGGGCUUGGGAGGGCAGGGCUUUCUCUGCUUGCGGACAUCGCGAAGGGCCUCUGGCAGGCGCCGCCGGGUGGCGGCGAGACGCCUCCGCGCCUCCGGGGUUCCUUGUUCGCUGUCGGAGGAGGACCGGCUGAGGGAUGGCCUGGUGGGGAGGGAGCCCUCGGGCAGGUGGCUGCGUCGGGCCUGGGGCAGUUGUGCUGCGCUUGGAGACCUGCCCGCCCUCGGGGCCUGUGUGCACAGGGAGGAUAGGCUGUUUAUCUCUGCAGGCUCAGGAAGGCAGGUAGCUGGCCCGUCAGUCAUCCGCCCUGCAAAGCGCUCCCGAGAGACCCCGUAGAGCGGGCCAGCGCGCGCCUGGCCUGAGGUUUCCCGCCCCCGGAGGCCCUCACAUCUCCCCGGUAACGCUUAGGAAUUCGGGCAGCCAGCUCGCCUACCCCUGGGGAAUCGAGGCAGAGCUUCUGGGAAUGGGGUCUGAGGGAAGAGUGCUCACCAGGCAGUGACAUGUAGCCGUUGAGGAUCGCCACUGCCUUCUCGUUCUGUGUUCUGUAGUCAGAAGUCCAACAUGGUUCUCAAUGGCCUAAAAUCAAGGUGUCCACAGGAUUGUGUUCCUUUCUAGAGAGCAAGCUGCAGUGUGGUAAACUGCCUUUGAAAGAGACCCACAUGUCAAGAAACUGAGCAUCACCUGUGACCAACAGCCAGAAAGUAACUGAAGCCCCAAGACGAACAGCUUGUGCAAAACUAAAUUCUGCCUACAACAAGAGCAUGAAUUGAGACGCAGAUCCUUCCCUAGUUGAUCCUUGAAAUGCUUGCAGCUCUAUGGACACCUUGAUUGCAGCCUUGUGAGAAAUUCUGAACUAGAGGACCUCGUAUGCCUUACCCAUAGGUCUUACAAGAUAAUACGUGUUUUUCAAAAAAGUAAGUUUGGGGAUAAUUUCUUAUGCAGCAAUAGAUAAUGAAUAAUAAAGUAAAUACAGUUUUUUGCUGUUGACUUCAAAAAUGUUUAAAGAUUUUACUGUUAUAUAAUUGUACAUAUUUAUGGGGUACAUGUGAUAUUUUGAUACAUGCAUACAAUGUGUAAUGAUCAAACUGGGGUAAUUUGAAUAUCCAUCACCUCAAAUGUUAUUUAGUGGUAUUGGGAACAUUCCAAAUCUUGUAGGUAUUUUGAAAUAUACAAAAAGUUAAUUUUAUAUAUAAAUAUAUGUCAUAUAUUAUUAAUAUAUUAAUAAUAUAUGCCAUAUAUAUAUAUGUAUGUAUAAAUGCCAUAUAUAUUAAUUACAUGUAUGGCAUGUUUUCUUUUAUACAUUUAUCCACUGAUAAACACUUAGGUUCCUUCCUUACCUUGGCUAUUGUGAAUAGUGCUGCAAUAAACAUGGGAGUGUAGAUAA